CAAGGCAACGAUGCAUAGCCGACCUGAGAGGGUGAUCGGCCACACUGGAACUGAGACACGGUCCAGACUCCUACGGGAGGCAGCAGUAGGGAAUCUUCCGCAAUGGGCGAAAGCCUGACGGAGCAACGCCGCGUGAGUGAUGAAGGUCUUCGGAUCGUAAAACUCUGUUAUUAGGGAAGAACAUAUGUGUAAGUAACUGUGCACAUCUUGACGGUACCUAAUCAGAAAGCCACGGCUAACUACGUGCCAGCAGCCGCGGUAAUACGUAGGUGGCAAGCGUUAUCCGGAAUUAUUGGGCGUAAAGCGCGCGUAGGCGGUUUUUUAAGUCUGAUGUGAAAGCCCACGGCUCAACCGUGGAGGGUCAUUGGAAACUGGAAAACUUGAGUGCAGAAGAGGAAAGUGGAAUUCCAUGUGUAGCGGUGAAAUGCGCAGAGAUAUGGAGGAACACCAGUGGCGAAGGCGACUUUCUGGUCUGUAACUGACGCUGAUGUGCGAAAGCGUGGGGAUCAAACAGGAUUAGAUACCCUGGUAGUCCACGCCGUAAACGAUGAGUGCUAAGUGUUAGGGGGUUUCCGCCCCUUAGUGCUGCAGCUAACGCAUUAAGCACUCCGCCUGGGGAGUACGACCGCAAGGUUGAAACUCAAAGGAAUUGACGGGGACCCGCACAAGCGGUGGAGCAUGUGGUUUA
rnacentral:rRNA from 1 species